UACGUAGGGGGCGAGCGUUACCCGGAUUUACUGGGCGUAAAGGGGGCGUAGGCGGCCGUGAAAGUACGGUGUGAAAACUCACGGCUCAACCGUGGGACUGCGCUGGAAACUACACGGCUUGAGGACGGUAGAGGGAGACGGAACUGCUGGUGUAGGGGUGAAAUCCGUAGAUAUCAGCAGGAACGCCGGUGGAGAAGUCGGUCUCCUGGGCCGUUCCUGACGCUGAGGCCCGAAAGCUAGGGGAGCAAACCGG
rnacentral:rRNA from 1 species